AGUGAACGCUGGCGGUAGGCCUAACACAUGCAAGUCGAACGGCAGCACAGUAAGAGCUUGCUCUUACGGGUGGCGAGUGGCGGACGGGUGAGGAAUACAUCGGCAUCUACUUUUUCGUGGGGGAUAACGUAGGGAAACUUACGCUAAUACCGCAUACGAUCUACGGGUGAAAGCAGGGGAUCUUCGGACCUUGCGCGAUUGAAUGAGCCGAUGUCGGAUUAGCUAGUUGGCGGGGUAAAGGCCCACCAAGGCGACGAUCCGUAGCUGGUCGGAGAGGAGGGUCAGCCACCCUGGAAAGGAGACCAGGUCCAGACGCCUACGGGAGGCAGCAAGGGGGAAUAUUGGACAAGGGGCGCAAGCCUGAUCCAGCCAUACCGCGGGGGGGAAGAAGGCCUUCGGGUUGUAAAGCCCUUUUGUUGGGAAAGAAAAGCAGCAGGUUAAUACCCCGCUGUUCUGACGGUACCCAAAGAAUAAGCACCGGCUAACUUCGGGC
rnacentral:rRNA from 1 species